rnacentral:rRNA from 1 species
AGUGAACGCUGGCGGUAGGCCUAACACAUGCAAGUCGAACGGCAGCACAGUAAGAGCUUGCUCUUACGGGUGGCGAGUGGCGGACGGGUGAGGAAUACAUCGGAAUCUACUUUUUCGUGGGGGAUAACGUAGGGAAACUUACGCUAAUACCGCAUACGACCUACGGGUGAAAGCAGGGGAUCUUCGGACCUUGCGCGAUUGAAUGAGCCGAUGUCGGAUUAGCUAGUUGGCGGGGUAAAGGCCCACCAAGGCGACGAUCCGUAGCUGGUCUGAGAGGAUGAUCAGCCACACUGGAACUGAGACACGGUCCAGACGCCUACGGGAGGCAGCAGUGGGGAAUAGUGGACAAUGGGCGCAAGCCUGAUCCAGCCAUACCGCGUGUGUGAAGAAGGCCUUCGGGUUGUAAAGCCCUUUUGUUGGGAAAGAAAAGCAGCAGGUUAAUACCCCGCUGUUCUGACGGUACCCAAAGAAUAAGCACCGGCUAACUUCGUG